GCUCUGAAUAGCGACAUGCUGGCUUAAGUUCAAGUACCUUACGAGGCAGAGGUAUCCAGUGCGCACUGGGACAUCUGAAGCUCAGGGAGGGAACCCGCAGAGCUAUUUGGAUUUGGGAAACCAGUGGCUGAUAGCAAGUCGUGGGGAAAAUGAGAGGGGAGAAGUCUGCCUGAGAGGCUGAUAAUUAUCCAAUGAUCGGGGACAUCAGCUGGACGCUGAGUUCUAAAGAAUUCCAACAUCAAGCAAUUGAGAAAACCCACCAGGAGAGUAAGAUGACCUUCCAGCAUUUGGCCUUUCCCUCCGAUACCUCACAGCUUUGCGGGAAGCCUUUGAAAGGUUUUCAGCCAGAAAGUACAUUUUCUGUUUGAGAAAGAUGACACUGGGGGACCAGUUGGAAGGUCGUUGCCAAGGUUCAGAAGUACAGCCAUGCGAUCAAUGGAAUCAAUGAAGGACCUCAUUCCUUGUCCACACACGUGCUGUGGCUGUCUACUUCCUGAAUGGUUUUCAGUGAUUUUCUCAAAACGGCCACAUUGAGUUCAUCCAAAUUUCCCUCACGGAUAGCUGGGAUCCCACAGCCCUGGCCUGGACAGGGCACCCUGCAGGCAGGGAUGAGCCUACCAGGGAAGGACUGGCCUCUGGUUCUGAGGAGUAGAGCAGAGGAGAGGCCAAAAUCUGGGUUUGGAGUAUAUGACCAGGAAGCAUGGAGAGUUCCUCAAUGUGUGUCCAAGGAGAGUCCUGACGAAAGAGUGCUGAGAGACACGGUCCUGAUGAUCUGGCUGUGCACUCAGGCGUUCGACGGCGGGUGUCUCUGGUCCUUCCCCCAACGCCAAUACGAAGAACCCAGAAAUGAAAAAGGUCUGGGCCCCAAAUAGGCAAGAAUAAAUGUGCCGCUGAUUUUAGUCA
rnacentral:lncRNA from 1 species